rnacentral:rRNA from 1 species
CAGUCGCCGCGGGAAUACGGAGGGGGCUAGCGUUGCUCGGAAUGACUGGGCGUAAAGGGCGCGUAGGCGGCGAUCAAAGUCAGGCGUGAAAUUCCUGGGCUCAACCUGGGGGCUGCGUUUGAUACUUGAUUGCUAGAGUGGGGAAGAGGGUCGUGGAAUUCCCAGUGUAGAGGUGAAAUUCGUAGAUAUUGGGAAGAACACCGGUGGCGAAGGCGGCGACCUGGUCCUCGACUGACGCUGAGGCGCGAAAGCGUGGGGAGCAAACAGGAUUAGAUACCCGAGUAGUCCCUGUCUCUUAUAC